rnacentral:rRNA from 1 species
UCGGAUUGUAGUCUGCAACCCGACUACAUGAAGCUGGAAUCGCUAGUAAUCGCAGGUCAGCAUACUGCGGUGAAUACGUUCCCGGGUCUUGUACACACCGCCCGUCACACCAUGGGAGCCGGAAAUGCCCGAAGCCAGUGACCCAACCUUAGGGGAGGGAGCUGUCGAAGGUGGAGCCGGUAAUGGGGUGAAGUCGUAACAAGGUACC